UGUCCAGUAGCACCUUAGAGACCAACUAAGUUUGUUCUGGGUAUAAGCUUUCAUAUCUGAAGAAGUGUGCAUGCACAAUACCCAGAACAAACUUAGUUGGUCUCUAAGGUGCUACUGGACA
rnacentral:miRNA from 1 species